AGUGAACGCUGGCGAUAGGCCUAACACAUGCAAGUCGAACGGCGGCACAGUAAGAGCUUGCUCUUACGGGUGGCGAGUGGCGGGCGGGUGAGGAAUACAUCGGAAUCUACUUUUUCGUGGGGGAUAACGUAGGGAAACUUACGCUAAUACCGCAUACGACCUACGGGUGAAAGCAGGGGAUCUUCGGACCUUGCGCGAUUGAAUGAGCCGAUGUCGGAUUAGCUAGUUGGCGGGGUAAAGGCCCACCAAGGCGACGAUCCGUAGCUGGUCUGAGAGGAUGAUCAGCCACACUGGAACUGAGACACGGUCCAGACUCCUACGGGAGGCAGCAGUGGGGAAUAUUGGACAAUGGGCGCAAGCCUGAUCCAGCCAUACCGCGUGGGUGAAGAAGGCCUUCGGGUUGUAAAGCCCUUUUGUUGGGAAAGAAAAGCAGCAGGUUAAUACCCCGCUGUUCUGACGGUACCCAAAGAAUAAGCACCGGCUAACUUCGU
rnacentral:rRNA from 1 species